rfam:Clostridium sulfidigenes strain 113A c2, whole genome shotgun sequence.
AAUGCACUUCAGGGCGGGGCGUAAUUCCCCACCGGCGGUAAAGCCCGCGAGCCGAAAGGCUGAUUCGGUGAAACUCCGAAGCCGACAGUAUAGUCUGGAUGAAAGAAGUAGGUA